rnacentral:rRNA from 1 species
UACGUAGGGCGCGAGCGUUGUCCGGAAUUAUUGGGCGUAAAGAGCUCGUAGGCGGCCUGUUGCGUCUGCUGUGAAAUCCCGGGGCUUAACCCCGGGCGUGCAGUGGAUACGGGCAGGCUGGAGGCAGGCAGGGGAGAACGGAAUUCCCGGUGUAGCGGUGAAAUGCGCAGAUAUCGGGAGGAACACCGGUGGCGAAGGCGGUUCUCUGGGCCUGUACUGACGCUGAGGAGCGAAAGCGUGGGGAGCGAACAGG